AGUGAACGCUGGCGGUAGGCCUAACACAUGCAAGUCGAACGGCAGCACAGUAAGAGCUUGCUCUUACGGGUGGCGAGUGGCGGACGGGUGAGGAAUACAUCGGAAUCUACUUUUUCGUGGGGGAUAACGUAGGGAAACUUACGCUAAUACCGCAUACGACCUACGGGUGAAAGCAGGGGAUCUUCGGACCUUGCGCGAUUGAAUGAGCCGAUGUCGGAUUAGCUAGUUGGCGGGGUAAAGGCCCACCAAGGCGACGAUCCGUAGCUGGUCUGAGAGGAUGAUCAGCCACACUGGAACUGAGACACGGUCCAGACUCCUACGGGAGGCAGCAGUGGGGAAUAUUGGACAAUGGGCGCAAGCCUGAUCCAGCCAUACCGCGUGGGUGAAGAAGGCCUUUGGGUUGUAAAGCCCUUUUGUUGGGAAAGAAAAGCGGCAGGUUAAUACCCCGCUGUUCUGACGGUACCCAAAGAAUAAGCACCGGCUAACUUCGUG
rnacentral:rRNA from 1 species